rnacentral:rRNA from 1 species
CAGUAGCCGCGGUAAUACGAAGGGGGCUAGCGUUGCUCGGAAUGACUGGGCGUAAAGGGCGCGUAGGUGGUGGUUUAAGUCCGUUGUGAAAGCCCUGGGCUCAACCUGGGAAUUGCAGUGGAUACUGGGUCACUAGAGUGUGGUAGAGGAUAGUGGAAUUUCCGGUGUAGCAGUGAAAUGCGUAGAGAUCGGAAGGAACAUCUGUGGCGAAGGCGACUAUCUGGGCCAACACUGACACUGAGGCACGAAAGCGUGGGGAGCAAACAGGAUUAGAUACCCCAGUAGUCCCUGUCUCUUAUAC